AUUGAACGCUGGCGGCAUGCCUUACACAUGCAAGUCGAACGGCAGCACGGGAGCAAUCCUGGUGGCGAGUGGCGAACGGGUGAGUAAAGUAUCGGAACGUGCCCAGUCGUGGGGGAUAACGUAGUGAAAAUUACGCUAAUACCGCAUACGAUCUAUGGAUGAAAGCGGGGGAUCGCAAGACCUCGCGCGAUUGGAGCGGCCGAUAGCAGAUUAGGUAGUUGGUGGGGUAAAGGCCCACCAAGCCAACGAUCUGUAGCUGGUCUGAGAGGACGACCAGCCACACUGGAACUGAGACACGGUCCAGACUCCUACGGGAGGCAGCAGUGGGGAAUUUUGGACAAUGGGCGAAAGCCUGAUCCAGCCAUUCCGCGUGCAGGAUGAAGGCCCUCGGGUUGUAAACUGCUUUUGUACAGAACGAAAAGGUUUCUACUAAUACUAGGAGCUCAUGACGGUACUGUAAGAAUAAGCACCGGCUAACUACGUGCCAGCCGCCGCGGUAA
rnacentral:rRNA from 1 species